rnacentral:lncRNA from 1 species
AUGGAUGACAUCAAGCUGUACGCCAAGAGUGAGCGAGACAUCGACUCGCUGAUCCACACCACCAGGAUCUACAGCUCGGACAUCGGGAUGUCAUUCGGGCUCGAGAAAUGUGGGAGGAUGGUGACAAAGAGAGGCAAGGUAAUCCACACAGAAGGGGUCUCACUCCCAGAAGGAAGAAUAGCAGACAUUGAGGACAAUUACAAGUACCUUGGAAUACCACAGGCAAACGGCAACCUUGAACAGGCAACAAGGAAUGCGGCAACAGCCAAAUACCUCCAACGAGUAAGGCAAGUCCUAAGAAGCCAGCUCAAUGGCAAGAACAAAUCCCGGGCAAUAAACAGCUACGCUCUGCCAGUGAUCAGAUACCCUGCGGGAAUAAUAAGGUGGCCAAAGGAAGAGAUACAGACCACAGAUGUUAAGACACGAAAGCUCCUCACCAUGCAUGGAGGGUUCCACCCCAAAUCAAGCACCCUGAGACUGUACGCUAGCGGCAAGGAAGGAGGCCGAGGACUAGUGAGCGUGAGAGCCACUAUCCAGGAUGAAACAUCCAAGAUCCAUAAGUACAUCAAGGAUAAGGCCCCGACAGAUGACGUGCUGAGUGAAUGUCUCAGGCAGUGGAGAACAGAGGAUGAGAUGCUGGAAGAGGGACCAUCAUGGGAGGACAAGCCCUUGCACGGGAUGUACCACCGGAACAUAACUGAAGUGGCUGAUCUCAACAAAUCCUACCAAUGGCUUGAAAGGGCUGGGCUGAAGGACAGCACAGAGGCACUCAUCCUGGCUGCACAGGAGCAGGCCCUGAGCACCAGAGCCAUAGAGGCCCAGAUCUACCACACCAGACAAGACCCAAGGUGUAGACUGUGCAAAGAGGCCCCAGAGACGGUCCAGCACAUAACUGCAGGGUGUAAGAUGCUGGCAGGCAAAGCAUACAUGGAACGCCAUAACCAAGUGGCUGGCAUAGUAUACAGGAACAUUUGCGCGGAGUAUGAACUGGAAACCCCAAGGUCAAAGUGGGAAACACCUCCCAAGGUGGUAGAGAACGAGCGAGCCAAGAUCCUGUGGGACUUCCAGACUGACAGAAUGGUAAUGGCGAACCAACCAGACAUUGUGGUGGUGGAUAAAGAGCAGAGGAAAGCCGUAGUGGUGGAUGUGGCAAUACCAAGCGAUGGCAACAUCAGGAAAAAGGAACAUGAGAAACUAGAGAAAUACCAAGGGCUCAGAGAAGAACUGGAGAAGGCUUGGAGGGUGAGGGCCACAGUGGUGCCUGUGGUGAUCGGAGCACUGGGGGCUGUGACCCCCAAACUGGAGGAGUGGCUACGACAGAUCCCUGGAAAAACAUCCGAAAUCUCAGUCCAGAAAAGUGCAGUCCUAGGAACAGCAAGGAUACUGCGCAGAACCCUCAAGCUCCCUGGCCUCUGGUAG